rnacentral:rRNA from 1 species
GACGAACGCUGGCGGCAUGCCUAACACAUGCAAGUCGAACGGAGAUUAUUUCGGUAAUCUUAGUGGCGAACGGGUGAGUAACGCGUGGGCAACCUGCCCUCUAGAUGGGGACAACAUCCCGAAAGGGGUGCUAAUACCGAAUGUGACAGCAAUCUCGCAUGAGGAUGCUGUGAAAGAUGGCCUCUAUUUAUAAGCUAUCGCUAGAGGAUGGGCCUGCGUCUGAUUAGCUAGUUGGUGGGGUAACGGCCUACCAAGGCGAUGAUCAGUAGCCGGUCUGAGAAGAUGAACGGCCACAUUGGGACUGAGACACGGCCCAGACUCCUACGGGAGGCAGCAGUGGGGAAUCUUCCGCAAUGGGCGAAAGCCUGACGGAGCAAUGCCGCGUGAGUGAUGAAGGAAUUCGUUCCGUAAAGCUCUUUUGUUUAUGACGAAUGUGCAGAUUGUGAACAAUGAUCUGUAAUGACGGUAGUAAACGAAUAAGCCACGGCUAGCUACGUG